ACAAAGACAAAAACAUGUGAACGAAAUACGAACGAAUGGAAGUGAGUGUUUCCCGCCCAGUACAAAAAUAUAUCAAAAUGUGUUUUAAAAUGUUGAAAGUUUAAAUGUACCAAAAAAUACCAGAAUAUAAAAGGAUACCAAAAAAAUACUAAAUUAGUUACACGGAGCCCAAAUUAUACCAAUUUGGUACUGAAUAUACUAAAAACGGUCACACUGCCACUAUGGCUUAAACCCUCUUUAACUCCACUGUCACGAUGACAUUAGUUAGGCCAUAAUGAUGAAGUAACAAUGUAUGUGUGGGAUAAAACUAUAACUUCUAGGGGUCCUCAGGAGAUUGGUACCUGCUUGUUGCGUUUCAUCAAAGAGAAAGUCAAGACUAAAAAGUUAAUUAUGUACUCAGUCCAGUGCAGUGGUCAAAAUAGAAAUAUUAAAAUGGCUACUCUUUGCCAGUAUAUUGUUGCCCAUACAGAUUACACAGUAGAUAACAUAGACCAUAAGUUCUAUGUCAGUGGGCACUCAUACUUAGCAUGUGACCAAGAUUUUGGAUUAGUAGAGAAGAAGAAAAAGUUUUUCAAAAAUAUUUACUUACCUGAUCACUGGACUACUGUUAUUAGGGUAGCUAGGGACAGUAACCCAUUUGAUGUCAUAAAAAUGACAAGGGAUGACUUUAUUUCAACAAAAAAGCUGGAGAAUAACAUUACCAACAGGAAGAUAACUACUGAAAAAUCAAAGAUUUAAAGAAAAGAGGCUCUACAGAUUUGACUGGUAUUAAACUGGAUUCUUUAUACCCUGAUGGACAUUCCAUCAGUUGUGAGAAAAAAAAGGAUUUAUUAGAUCUAUUGCCUUUUAUACCAGUAUCAAAGAUAAUGCGGCUGUAAGAAAUGUCAUAGAUGUUGAGGAUGAUAUUGAUAAUGACUAAGAAUACCAUUAUUGUUAUUUCUGUUGAUGUCACUUCUUUUUUAAGUGUUUUAUAAUAAACAAUUGGCCUAACAACCAUUUUGUUCUCACCUUUUUAUAAACACCUACUGCCAAAGUGGCCUAUCUGUGUAUAGAAUAUAGAAAAAUAGCAAUAAAGCUAUUUUCUCACUAUUAAAAUCAUAAUUUGG